CCUAAAUAUAAUUAAAUAAAAAUAUUGUCAAAUAUAAAUUUCAUCUAUUUAAACUAUGGCAACAAAUGCACUGUUACAAGGAUUCAAGGAUUUAAAAGGAGAAUUUCAAAAGAAUCUUCUGAAAGUGGUGGUAAUGCUUCAAUUGAUUCAGAAUAAUUCCAUAGGGUUUCUUUGGAAGAAGAUGCACAGAUUUCAAAAUCAUAAACAGGAGGUUCAAGCAAACAGUUAUUCAGUAGGUGGGAGAGAAGGAGUGAUUGAAGACAGGGCAUAUAUGUGACCACAAACAAGAGCAUCUACUUCAGUA